rnacentral:rRNA from 1 species
AUUGAACGCUGGCGGCAGGCCUAACACAUGCAAGUCGGACGGUAGCACAGAGGAGCUUGCUCCUCGGGUGACGAGUGGCGGACGGGUGAGUAAUGUCUGGGAAACUGCCCGAUGGCGGGGGAUAACUACUGGAAACGGUAGCUAAUACCGCAUAACGUCGCAAGAGCAAAGUGGGGCACCUUCGGGCCUCACACCAUCGGAUGUGCCCAAAUGGGAUUAGAUGGUAGGCGGGGGAACGGCCCACCUAGGCGACGAUCCCUAGCUGGUCUGAGAGGAUGACCAGCCACACCGGAACUGAGACACGGUCCAGACUCCUACGGGAGGCAGCAGUGGAGAAUAUUGCACAAUGGGCGCAAGCCUGAUGCAGCCAUGCCGCGUGUAUGAAGAAGGCCUUCGGGUUGUAAAGUACUUUCAGCGGGGAGGAAGGUGCUGAGGUUAAUAAGCUCAGCAAUUGACGUUACCCGCAGAAGAAGCACCGGCUAACUCCGUGCCAGCCGCCGCGGUAA